AUUGAACGCUGGCGGCAGGCUUAACACAUGCAAGUCGAGCGGAGCGAGGGUGCUUGCACCUUAGCUUAGCGGCGGACGGGUGAGUAAUGCUUAGGAAUCUGUCUAUUAGUGGGGGACAACAUUCCGAAAGGAAUGCUAAUACCGCAUACGUCCUACGUGGGAAAGCAGGGGAUCUUCGGACCUUGCGCUAAUAGAUGAGCCUAAGUCGGAUUAGAUAGUUGGUGGGGUAAAGGCCUACCAAGGCGACGAUCUGUAGCGGGUCUGCGAGGAUGAUCCGCCCAACUGGGACUGGGGCACGGCCCAGACGCCGACGGGAGGCAGCAGUGGGGAAUAAUGGAGAAUGGGGGGAACCCUGAUCCAGCCAUGCCGCGUGUGUGAAGAAGGCCUUAUGGUUGUAAAGCACUUUAGGCGAGGAGGAGGCUACUGAGACUAAUACUCUUGGAUAGUGGACGUUACUCGCAGAAUAAGCACCGGCUAACUCUGGGCCAGCAGCCGCAGUAAGAC
rnacentral:rRNA from 1 species